rnacentral:rRNA from 1 species
UACGUAGGGUGCGAGCGUUGUCCGGAAUUAUUGGGCGUAAAGGGCUCGUAGGCGGUCUGUUGCGUCGGUAGUGAAAACUCAGGGCUUAACCCUGAGCCUGCUUCCGAUACGGGCAGACUAGAGGUAUGCAGGGGAGAACGGAAUUCCUGGUGUAGCGGUGAAAUGCGCAGAUAUCAGGAGGAACACCGGUGGCGAAGGCGGUUCUCUGGGCAUUACCUGACGCUGAGGAGCGAAAGUGUGGGGAGCAAACAGG